CCUGCCCCUAGAAGUGUUACAGAUGUGGCUGCUGUGUUACAUGUGAAUCAGUAGGUGGCAGAAAGGAGAAAGUCUAUGUAUAUGCUCAAUGUUCUGACCUAUGAGCAUCUAAAUGAUUAGUAGCCUAACAUA